UUCAACCAGAUUUUACUGGAACUGAACUUCUCGGCUCGGACCUGGAAGUAUCAUCGAAAAGUAUUCCGACUAUGAGCGGUUUUGUAUCAUCCUACAUGAGCAAUAUUAUACCGGCUAUGCAGUCAUCGCUGCACCCGGUUCCGAUUUGCACGGCUUGCAGCAGCUCAGAUUCUUCCCCAUGUCGUUGAAGCCGAAAAUUUAAAAUUUCUUAAGAUGUUCAGAAAGCCCUAACAAGGUUCUGAAAGUGUUGCAAAUAUCUGGAUGGUAUUCAAAGAUGUAACCAAGCAAUCGAGGGCCAUCCGCCAAAAAGCGACAUCACCAACAACGUUAAUUAGUUGCUGAAUUUUUAUAGGUUUUCGGGAAACUUUCAAAAAAAUCCAAGAGCUGAAAUCCAAUAAAGUUUUUGGAUAUUCCCACGGAAAUCCACCAAUAUAUUCACCGGAGGGAAUUGCCCCUCGGGUUAUGUUCCAGUCGUUGAUCAAAUUGACAGCCAUCGAGGAAAGGUUUGU